AGAGUUUCAGUUAUACAACCGUUUCUGUUAUGUGACAUAAAUGGCAGAAAGGGAGCACUGAGUGCAGAGAUACAGUUAAACUGAUUAAAGCUCUCAAGAAAAGGAUUUUGAUUGUUAUUCAUUUGUUUUAAACAGCAACAUACUACUGCAACAAGCUUAUUCUAGCCCAGUUCUUAUUCCUUCCAGUAAUCCAGUAAGUUUCCAUAUCUGUUUCAGCUGUUCCGAGGUGCAGGGGGCCGCAGUUGAUCCCAGCAUGCAUGAGGAGGGCAACAUUCAGGAAAGGUUGCUGGUCUAUUGCAGGGCUAACAUACACAGUCACAGCAGGUUUGAGCAUCUAUUAGUGUACAGCUGGGAUACAGUAGUCUCAAGCAAACUACUAAGACUCACCCCACUCUUGGAAGUGAGUGUAGACCAUCUGACCAUCAGCCAGGACAGCAGAGCAAGCCCUCACGUGUUGCUGUCUGGAUAAUCACAUAAAGACAACCCUACUCAACUUGUAUAACACUCCCUCCCUCCCUCCUUCCCUUCCUGCCUCCCAGCCUUCCUCCCAGCAUAUGGACAGGGGAGGUCAUUAUUUUUACAUGGCAGUUGAAUGGACAUGGUUAAAGAGUGCAAGAACUGUUUCAUGUAAUUUACACUCACAAUGGUGGUUGACCUCUAAAAUCCAUUCUGCAGUAUCACCAACCCCAUAACCUUAUAAAAUCAUUUGUUUUCUUCUGUCGGACCUUUAAAGAAAGAUCACUGUGUUUGUCUUUUGUUUUUUGAACCACUAUAAGUUUUAUUUUAGAACACAGUGUAUUGUUGGAAUAAAGUCAUCUUUGUCUAUA